rnacentral:lncRNA from 1 species
UUUCAAGAGCCUGGUGCAUAGGGUUGUCACCAACGCGGAGAAAGAGCGCUUGUCGGUGGUGCUGGUUUAUACGUUGGAGCUAGAGACACAACUUGAGCCGGUGUCAGAGCUAGUGGAUGACAAGAGACCUGCACGAUACAUGAAGAUCAAGCUCAACGACUACAUGGAAAAAUUCCUUGACACUUAUGCCACUGGGACACUAGCCAUCGACGGCGUGAAGAUCCGAAUAUGAUUCCGUUGUAUGCAAAAGCUCGCUGAGUAAGAUCUAUGAUGAAGUAUCUUCCGUUGACCAGUUUUAACGAGUUUAUAUUUUCACAUAUUUUCAAGAUUUUGUGUGUGUACUCCUCAUGUAAAAUGUUGGGCAGCUUGUGUGGCCGCAUUAAACCCUAAUAUAAAACGUAUCCGCUGUGGGCAACGUACGGAUGCAAAGGAUGGAAUAAAACUUAUCGAUUGUGUGCAACAUGCGGAUGCAAGGAUAGUUUUUCCUGUUAGUAUGUAUCAUUGAUAAGUACCAUUGUGCCUCCGUUUCAAGAAAUUAAGAGACCAUUGUGCCAUGAAAAAUGUGGGUUAACAGUCAGAAUUUCAUGUGUAUCUUUCCUGAAAAAUAGACACCCACUACUAUAGAGUGUGACAUAAAUAGACACCCACUACUAUAGAGUGUGACAUGUCAAUAGCUUCUCGUCGGUGAUUACGAUGUUAGCAUUAACUAGUCACACUACUAGGAAAAACCUUAUAGGAAGGACAUGAGUAGUAGCGCUAGAAAAAGAAAACGCUGCUGCUAAUUAGCAGUAGCGCUGAGCCAGCUGCAUACACCUUAGCAGUAGCGCUGCUAAUUAAAAAGGCGCUACUACUAUGUGGAACCAGACGAUGCCACUGACGGUAGCUGUAGUAGCAGCGUUGCCCAAAAUCCAGCGCUACUACUAAGUAUUUAGCGGUAGCGCUUUGUUUUGCAGCAUCGCUGCUGCUAGUUGGCUCCACUUAGUCGUAGCGCUCGAUGGUGUGCAGUGCUACUACUAAUAGAAUAGCAGCAGCGCUCUCUGUUAUCCAGCGCUACUGCUAGUUGCGGCUGCCCACCYCCUCCCCCCCCCCUCCCCUCCCCACNNNNNNNNNNNNNNNNNNNNNNNNNNNNNNNNNNNNNNNNNNNNNNNNNNNNNNNNNNNNNNNNNNNNNNNNNNNNNNNNNNNNNNNNNNNNNNNNNNNNAGGCCUCCGGUCCCGGCCCCGCCCUCGCCGGCCACCACCCCGCCUGCCUGUCCCCAGCCACUUCACCGUCGUAGGCCCUGGCAUCUUCCCUGCUUCCCCACCGGUCUCUGCUCCCAGUCGCCCCCGCCGGUCCUGGCCCCAUUGCCCCCGCCGUCCACGGCCUCGUCAUCCCCUGCUGCAGCUCCAGUGAGCACGUGCAUAGUGGAUGGUGGCAAGGCAGCUAGGCAUGCUGGAUCUCGGGCUGCUACACCAACCCUCCUCUCUUGUAAUUUUCUACGAAGCACCGAUACUUCAGAAAUUUGUGUAUCGCCGUUCAGUACUUCACCGAUAUUCCGAUACUUCAGAUACGCCUUCGAUACGGGUAUCCCCGAAGUAUCGUCAUUUCCAAUUUAAAAGAAAUGGCGAUACGCGUAUCCUCAAAGUAUCGCCAUUGUGUAUUGCCCAUGCCUUGAUGUAUCGUUGAUCUGUUCAUAUACAUAGUGCACGUGGAUUGUACUAAUGUAGUAGUUGGAUAAAAGUGCUUGUUAAGAAUGUUACUUGUGCAAUUCAUUAUUUGACCCACUCGUGCAAUCCAAAGUUGCUCUUUAUAUAUGUUUGUCAUUUGACAAUCUCAAGUUUUUAAUUUUAAAAGAUUUAUUAAUUUUAUAUUAUCGUGUUAAUAGAUAUUACAGUCUAAAUUGUAUUGUGACAGUCUAUGAUCAAUUGGUCGUAUUAUUCAUUGAUGAUAGUGAGAUUUUAAAAUGAGAAACAAUAAGGUAUGAAAGUAAUUAGGCAAUCAGUGGAUCGGUAUUUUGUUAUCAUCUCAUACAUUUAUUUAUGUUAGUUUUUAUUGCAUGUUAUUUUAUCAUUAUUUAUAUAUGCCUGCCGUAUCGCCGAAUUACUGUUUUUAGAAAUUGUCAUAUCCCGUAUCGCCGUAUCAGUGUCGCCGUAUUGGUGCUUAGUAGGUAAUUUUUAGAUCAACGUGUCCUGUAGUUUGUUCAUGUGUAAUAAGUUAGUUUUGCCUUGUAUCAGAAAGUGAUGAUGUAAUCGGUGUAAAUAGAGUAAUUUUGUAUUGUGAAAUUUAUUCAUUUGUUGUUGAUUCUUGAACGAAGUGUUGAUCGAUACUAUGUUCUUCUUCGUCGUCAGUUCGUGGCCGCCUCUACAAUUGGUUAUUGGUUCAUAAUGUUCUAAUAAAAAAUACUUUGAUGUCUUAUUCUCUGAGGCUGACUGCAAAGACAAUAUUGAGGCUGAUGACAAAGAGUUGACAUCGUCCGUUAGCGUGCGGUUCUGUUAGACUGCCUUUUUUGUCGUCUACUUUGUAACAAAUGAUGGCAAACCAUUUUCAGCAAAAAAAAUUCGUCUACCCGAUCGAAUACUGACGGCAAAAUACCUCUUUGCGGGUGAUAAGACCUCGAUGACGCCUAGAGGGGGGUGAAUAGGCUAUUUAAAAACUUCUUCGGAUUUGGCUUGAAACUAAUGCGGAAAUAAACUAAGAGGGUACUUGUCAAGCACAAAUCCUAAAUGCACUAGGCACUACAACGUGUAUCAACAACACGAUCUACCAAGAUGGACACAAUACAGUUACUAACAAGCACAAGUAAGUUACACAAACUUACUUGAGCUAUAUCACCCGACAAGUAGGUGAAUAACACAAGAUACUAGAUCACACUAUAUCACACGAUAUAUCAAGGGCUGCAAGUAUGAACGUGUGGAUAUAGAGGGUAUGCUUGAAUGAUUAAUCUUGUACAAGAAAUAGCCCAUACAAUAUAAUGAGCACAAACAAUAUGCAAUGUAUGUAUGCUCAUGUAACACAAGUAAACCACAAGUAAGGAGUUAGGGUUAAGGAUAACCAAGGUCACUGAGACGAAGAUGUAUCCCGAUGUUCACUUCCUUGAAGGGAAGCUAGUCACCGUUAGAGAGGUGGAUGUUACCACGAAGGCACACCAAUGCCACGAAGGCUCACCCUAUUCUCCCUUUGAGAUAACACCACGAAGGCGUUUCUCAACCACUAGUCGUAAGCCUUUGAGGUGGCUUCCAAACCCUCACAAACUUUUUCGGGGAGUAAUCACACGGAUUGAUUCCUCUCCGAAGGACUCCUACCGCCUAGGAGUCUCCAACCUCCAAGAGUAAUAAGAUCACGGGGAAUGCUCAAAACUUGCUCAAAUCUCAAAUAGCUUGGGUUGAGAGGAGGAGAGGGAGACGAUCUAUCUUUUGAUUGGAACAACUCUCAAAGGGGCUCACAAAUGCUCUUGGGAUCUAAGAUUUGGUGUGAGAAAAUGUGUGUGAGGUAGAAGUGUGUUCUUAUGAGGAUAAGGUUGUGUUGGGAUACCCUCUCACGAAGUGGGAGGGGGUAUUUAUAGUGGGGAGAGAAAACAACCGUUGGGGACACUUUAAGUCACAUAGGGUCCGGACGUCCGAUAGUUUCCGGAAGUCUGGGCGACCGCGAGGGGUCGGACGUCCGACAGGGGUCGGUCAUCCGAGGCCUGUAGAUAUCACUGAAAAUACUGUGAAUUGAACAGCGACCGGACGUCCGGAGAAGGCCGGAAAUCCGAGUUAUUCGACUCAACUUCUUCUGGUGCAAGGUUCCGGAUUUUCGAGGCUGGUCGGACGUCCGGCUCUCGGAUGUCCGGAGGGAGCCGGAAAUCCGAGUUAUAUGACUCAAAUACUUCUGUUGGAGGGCUCCGGAUUUCCGAAGCUGGUCGGUCGUCCGACCCUUGACCGGCCCUCGGACGUCCGGAGGGAGCCGGAAGUCCGAGUUAUAUGGCUCAAGUUUCUCUCGUGCAUAGUUCCGGAAUUCCGAAGCUGGUCGGAUAUCCGGGACUCGGACGUCCGGAGGGAGCCGGAAGUCUGAGUUAUAUGGCUCUGAUUUCUUUGGUAUAGGAUUCCGGAUUUCUGAAGCAAUCGGUCGUCCGGCCCUCGGACGUCUGGAGGAAGCCGGAUGUCCGAGGCACUGGUUCUGUUUUCAGAUAACAGCAGAGCAGUGGAGAUGUGGUCUGAGCAAAAUAGUGGAGAUGUAGUUUGAGCAAGUUCAUCGCAAAACCUGUGAUCCCCUCUUAAUAGUGCGGGAUCCCUAAAGACUCAAGAAUCAUAAAAGGGGUACUGAUGACCCAUGCUUGAGUGUAUACUUUUAUUCACUGAUCAUCACUCCGCACAACUAACGUCACAGGAACUGAUACCUUUGGGUUAGCCCUUUCACUUGAGCUUGAUGUUGUUGUUCCUUCUUGGCUCAAGUUGAAAGCAAGACAUGAUAAAUUCUUCAAGUAGCUCUCCCAUACACGAUGUGGAAAGCCUAGCUUAUGUAUUCAUCUUCAUUUGUCCACCAUGUGAACAUCCACAAGAAUCAAGCAUGUAGUGCUCAGGAAUGCUUAUCUUGAUCUUGUCCUUGUUAGCACAUGAGCUUGUCCUUAUCAACACAUGAUCAUNNNNNNNNNNNNNNNNNNNNNNNNNNNNNNNNNNNNNNNNNNNNNNNNNNNNNNNNNNNNNNNNNNNNNNNNNNNNNNNNNNNNNNNNNNNNNNNNNNNNAUGGGAAACAAAAAUUUUCCUACGCGCACGAAGACCUAUCAUGGUGAUGUCCAUCUACGAGAGGGGAUGUGUGAUCUACGUACCCUUGUAGACCGUACAGCAGAAGCGUGAGUGAACAUGGUUGAUGUAGUGGAAAGUCCUCACGUCCCUCGAUCCGCCCCGCGAACCGUCCCGCGAUCAGUCCCACGAUCUAGUGCCGAACGGACAACACCUCCGCGUUCAGCACACGUACAGCUCGACGAUGAUCUCGGCCUUCUUGAUCUAGCAAGAGAGAGGGAAAGGUAGAAGAGUUCUCCGGCAGCGUGACGGCGCUCCGGAGGUUGGUGAUGAUCUUGUCUCAGCAGGGCUCCGCCCGAGCUCCGCAGAAACGCGAUCUAGAGGUAAAACCGUGGAGAUAUGUGGUCGGGCUGCCGUGGCAAAGUUGUCUCAAAUCAGCCCUAAAACCCCACUAUAUAUAGGAGGGAGGGAGGGGAGGAGGCAGCCUCAAAACCUAAAGGUUUGGCCGAAAUUGGAGGUGGAGGAGUCCUACUCCAAUCCUACUUGGAGUAGGAUUCCACCUUCCCACUUGGAAACUCUUUCCACCUUGUGUUUUUCCUUCUCAAACCUUAUGGGCCUUAGUGGGAACUUAUUCCAGCCCACUAGGGGCUGGUUUAUCUCUUCCCAUAGCCCAUGAGACCCCUUGGGGCGUGACACCCCUCCUGAUGGUCCCCGGCACCCCUCCGGCACUCCCAGUAUACUACCGAUGAGCCCGAAACUUUUCCGGUAAUGCACGAAAACCUUCCGGUAACCAAAUGAGGUCAUCCUAUAUAUCAAUCUUCGUUUCCGGACCAUUCCGGAAACCCUCGUGACCUCCGUGAUCUCAUCCGGGACUCCGAACAACAUUUGGUAACCAACCAUACAACUCAAAUACGCAUAAAAAACGUCGAACCUUAAGUGUGCAGACCCUGCGGGUUCGAGAACUAUGUAGACAUGACCCGAGAGACUCCUCGGUCAAUAUCCAAUAGCAGGACCUGGAUGCCCAUAUUGGAUCCUACAUAUUCUACGAAGAUCUUAUCGUUUGAACCUCAGUACCAAGGAUUCAUAUAAUCCCGUAUGUCAUUCCCUUUGUCCUUCGAUAUGUUACUUGCCCGAGAUUCGAUCGUCAGUAUCCGCAUACCUAUUUCAAUCUCGUUUACCGGCAAGUCUCUUUACUCGUUCCGUAAUACAAGAUCCCGUAACUUACACUAAGUCACAUUGCUUGCAAGGCUUGUGUGUGAUGUUGUAUUACCGAGUGGGCCCCGAGAUACCUCUCCGUCACACGGAGUGACAAAUCCCAGUCUCGAUCCAUACUAACUCAACGAACACCUUCGGAGAUACCUGUAGAGCAUCUUUAUAGUCACCCAGUUACGUUGCGACAUUUGAUACACACAAAGCAUUCCUCCGGUGUCCGUGAGUUAUAUGAUCUCAUGGUCAUAGGAACAAAUACUUGACACGCAGAAAACAGUAGCAACAAAAUGACACGAUCAACAUGCUACGUCUAUUAGUUUGGGUCUAGUCCAUCACAUGAUUCUCCUAAUGAUGUGAUCCCGUUAUCAAGUGACAACACUUGCCUAUGGCCAGGAAACCUUGACCAUCUUUGAUCAACGAGCUAGUCAACUAGAGGCUUACUAGGGACAGUGUUUUGUCUAUGUAUCCACACAAGUAUUGUGUUUCCUAUCAAUACAAUUAUAGCAUGGAUAAUAAACGAUUAUCAUGAACUAAGAAAUAUAAUAGUAACUAAUUUAUUAUUGCCUCUAGGGCAUAUUUCCAACAGCCAGGCCCGUCGACUGUCGAGUACAACGUCCAGCGCCUCCCGGAAGAUCAGGUGGGAGCUGCCUAGGGGGCCAUGGUGCAGGCGGAGCUGAUGGCGGGAGAGGCCAAGAAAGCGUACGACUCCAUCGCGUCCGUGUACAAGCGAAGCUUGGAACUACGGGACGAUAUCCCAGUAAGUGGGCUAGUAAGUAUUUACCUUCCUCUUGUAACCCAGUGGGUGUUUGAGCAAUGCACUCGGAUAUUGUAUGAUUAUUUUGCAGUGGGUUCACUCUUAGUGAACCCACUGGGUGUACUCCCCGAGACCGCUGUCGACUGCUUGUGUCGGCAGGGGUCUGAAGAACUUAGAAAUUUUAUUGUUGUCCUUGUUGAAUUUGUCUGAUCGUCUCUUGGCGCUGACUUGUAGAAAACUUGCGAGAUGGGAGCAGCGUACGAGACUCUGAGGGCUGAAAAGGUUCAGUUUGCUGGGGAACUGGAUGCAGCAAUGGUUGCCUUGGCUGGUAUGAAGGAUGUUCUGGCUGAACGAGAAAAGUCCUUGGAGGAGGCCCGUGAGGCAAACAAGGCAUUGGCGGCUGAAGUGGAAAAAUGGGGAAACAAAGGACCGAGCUGAUGGGACAGAUGAAAGUGUUGAACAGGCGGUGCAUAGCACAGGAAAAUUACGUUAGUGACUGGGCCCGGAAGAUGAUAGCGCUUCUCGGUGGUAAGUUCUGUUUUUCCGAGUGCUUGUGGACUGUGCAUUUCAUUCUGUGCUUACUGUUUGCUCGCCCUGUCUUUGCAGAUUUUUGAAUGGACGUUGAGGCUGAGGCAGCUGACGUUGAGCGGUCGAUUCUUCUGAACGUUCCACUCGGCGAGGACGCCAAUCAAGAUAUGCUCCGAGCGCACAUUCGCGUGGGCAAGGUGGGGCCUUUCAUCGGUCGACUGAGAGAGGUCGUCAGCUGAAUCGACAAGGAGCUUUGGCCAGAAGACGAGUCUCGGCAGGAGAUGGAAGGCUUGAUGACUCGGCUAGAGGAGGUCCCGAACCGAGUGCAGGCGUGAAAGAAGUCUGCGGCUCGCUGUGGUGCGGACAUCGCUCUGUCGCUGGUGCGAGUGCACUGCAAGGAGGCUCGCGAAGAGAAGCUGAAGGCGUUGCAGGUCGCCAACACGAAAAGCUUCGAUUCGAAGACUUCAUGGAGACCUUCCUUGAGAGCGCCACUCGCAUCGUCGACGGGAUCAACCUUGACACAUUCAUGGAGCCUGCCAGUCCUAGUGCCAGUCCUGACGACGUUUAAGAAAACUUUUACCUCGGUAUGCCGAGUGUUGGUUGUAAGAAACUUUGGCCACUGCUGUUGGCCGUCACAUUCGUGGUUUGGUGUGGAUAAGCUUGAUCUACACCGAGCCAACUAUCCUUAGGCGAACUUUGAAUUUGAAUCGAAUCUUUGUCUCUUCUUUUGCCAAAGAGUUGUUGAUACGAUUUUGGCUCGUGGUUUUGUUUGGCGUUUCUUGGUGAAACCAAUGGCAAACAUGUGGAGCAUGUAAUUGUCAGUUGUCUUGACAUCUGCAUGAGCCUCACUGAGGGUCUGCUGAGUCUCCGAGUGGAUCUGUAAGAUACACUCGAAGGCAAUUGAGUGCUUAGGCGAUUCGUGAUCGCGGCUAAGUCUUCGUGUGCGACUGUAAGGUCGUACUCGGAGCGAGUUGUUACUCAUGUAAUUGUCAGUGGUCUUGACAUCUACAUGAGCCUCAAUGAGGUUCUGCUACUCAUGUAAUUGGCAGUGGUCUUGACAUCUACAUGAGCCUGAAUGAGGGUCUGCUAAGCCUCCGAGAGGAUCUGUGAGAUACACUCGAAGGAAGCUUUCUAUUUAAGCGAUUCUUGAUCGCAGACAAGUCUUCGAGUGCGACGUUAAGUGCACACUCGGAGAAGGUGUGAAGUUAGGCGAUUCGUGAUCGCAGCUAAGUUUCCGUGAGUGCGAUGGUUAGUGCACACUCGGAGAAAGCUAAUACUUAGGCGAUUCUGGAUCGCAGCUAAGUUCCCGAGUGCGGACGUUAAGUKCACACUCAAGAAGUUAGUACUUAGGCGAUUCUGGAUCGCAGCGUCGCUAGNNNNNNNNNNNNNNNNNNNNNNNNNNNNNNNNNNNNNNNNNNNNNNNNNNNNNNNNNNNNNNNNNNNNNNNNNNNNNNNNNNNNNNNNNNNNNNNNNNNNGUCUUGGGACUUAAGGCCCAUACAGAUGGCUCGAUAAUCACAGUCAACUUCGCCGAUGCCGAGGGGCUCCAGCUUGAGAGAAACGGCGUGUGGUACAACGUGCCCAUUGUUCCAAAUGCAUUGGUUAUGAACAUAGGAGAUAUAAUGGAGGUACUGUGUCUACAGCCAGCUACAUGUAUAAUUGUUUGACCAUGUUCUGUGGAUUGUUAAGCUCAGAUUUAAUACAUCUCUCUAUUUUAUCCUUAUGCAUGCAGAUUUUGAGCAAUGGGUUUUCAAGAGCCUGGUGCAUAGGGUUGUCACCAACGCGGAGAAAGAGCGCUUGUCGUUGGUGCUGGUCUAUACGUUGGAGCUAGAGACACAACUUGAGCCGGUGUCAGAGCUGGUGGAUGACAAGAGACCUGCCCGAUACAUGAAGAUCAAGCUCAACGACUACAUGGAAAAUACCAUGACACUUAUGCCACUGGGACACUAGCCAUAGACGGCGUGAAGAUCUGAAUAUGAUUCCGAUGUAUGCAAGCUCGCUGAGUAAGAUCUAUGGUGAAGUAUCUUCCGUUGACCAGUUUGUAACGAGUUUACGUUUUUACCUAUUUCCCAGAUUUUUGUGUGUGUACUCCUCAUGUAAAAUGUUGGGCAGCUUGUGUGGUCGCAUUAAACCCUAAUAUAAAACUUAUCCGAUGUGSGCARCAUACGGAUGUAAAGGAUGGAAUAAAACUUAUCGAUUGUGUGCAACAUGGG